rnacentral:sRNA from 14 species
CUUUUGGCAUCAAACACAGGGUUCGCCCGUGCCGAAUCUCUUUUGGAAGAAUUAUUCUUUCUGAGUGCGCACAUCUGAAGCACAAAAAAAAAAGAAAACGAGAAGGGCAAAAAAACACUAUUAAAAAUGGCUUGCGAAGCUGGAGCUAACGAGAAAAAUCGAUAAAGUUGGUGAAGUGAAGCUGUGGAAGGGGGUAAGGAAGAAAAAAAAAGAGCUGGAGCAGAAACUAAAUAUGUCAUGUUUGUGGAGGAGCAUGCAUGCAGCCAAGUUGCAAAACUAUAUAAAGUAGAGUAACGACUGAGAAAUUGGUUCAAAAACAAGAGAGGCAG